GGGGGAAAAAACUCUUAGGCACAGGCAGUUUUGACCUCAAGCAAGAUGGGAAUGGACUUGGAGCCUUAAAACUCCUCCAGCCUUGCAGGAGGAGUUCCAAGGAGUAACAGUGAGAUCCAGUUAAUAAGACCCUCAGUUCCUAUGGCCAGGAGGAAUUUUGAGGUGCCAGGACGAUAAACAUAUAGGGUUGCCUUCUGCUCUACCAUCUCAAUUCCUGUCACACACCUAAUUCAGCAACCAGACUUCCAGACACUGCGCAGAACAUGGCCUCACCAGUGACUAAAACAGCACAAUAGAUAAUUAGAUCUAAAUGAGAAAUGUCUACCCUGGGGGAACUGAAUGGGACACAGCCGACCGAAUUAGUACCAACGGACUCUCAUACAGCUAGGGCUUUUGUGGUUACUGUCAUCAGAAGUGUAACCAGUGAGGCCAACUCUCUGCAUUAUUAAUGCUGCUGGAAACAUGAGCUGAUGAUUCCUCCACACACUCCUGUGGCAUAGAAGCUGCUCCAAAUAACGACAUGGCCUCGCCCACCUUGGCACUCAGAGCCUGGGGCCAGCAUGGCUGCCCCAACACUGCCAACAAAAAUAUGGGGUGUUCUCAAGGAAUAAAACAGAUCGGCCACAUGAUGGUGCUGCAACCUCAGGAACAGGAAAGAGGGCUGCUGGACUGCAUUCCCUGUAACCGCCCCCCACCAGUGAAAUGCAGCCUGGUGCAGAGACAUAUCACAAAGCCUGAGUGAGUUUUCUGUGCUGCUGGCCCCUGCUCCCCGGUGACUCACCCCCUGAUAUCUCCAUUCACUCAGACCGGACCGGGUAUUUCUAGCAUGGACUGGGCUAGGAAUCUCUCCCCAAAUACCUGCAUGGACUCUGCCCUCUGCCAGCCAGGGGCCUAUGCUCCCACCUUGUAGGAUGUAAGAAACUCCCAUUGACUUUAAUGCACUCAGGACCUGUGGCCAGAUUCAGCCUGGUGCUGUGGCUGCAAAAAGAGGCCUUAGGGUGGGUAUAAUGCUCCCUUGGCGAGUGGCACAGAGAACCCCUACACCGUGCCCAGAGCUGAUGGAUAGAGCUGCAGACUGCCUCUGCAGCGGCCCUGGUGGGAAGGGGCCCAGAGGAGUCUGGGCCGGGGCAGAUGUGUGCCCCAGCAAUUCUGAGCGCCCACAAGGGGCCAUUGUCACAGUGGUGCUCAGGGCUGCACCGGCCUGAGCUGGGGGCUGUACCAGCCUCCACAGCCCCUGGAUAGGAGGAAGGCAAGAUGCAUCCCCUCUGCCCCUGCCCUGGUGCUGAGUCUGCCCCCUGAAGCGUGAGUUGAGCGGCACCGUCCCCUUUGCACGGCACCAUGUUUUCCAGGGAUGCUGAGUGAUCCCGGCUCCCAUGCGGACAUGGAUUCAUGCCCAAGCAGAGUCCAGAGUGUGAAUCGGAGUGUGAACAGAUCGAGUGCUGGGCUCAUCCCUAGGCUGCCUGACACAGAUGUCAGCAGACCGUGGGGCAGAGCAUGCCUUGCCUGACCCUAAAGGAAGCAAUGAGCCACUCUUGGUCAGUUUCCUAACGCCCCAUCCCCUCUUGUCCAUUUCACGCUGACUGUGGAUGAAAGGGGUUAGCUGGCUGGAUUCUUCCAGGACCAAAUUCUCCUUUA